GUAGGUGAACCUGCGGAUGGAUCAUUAGUGAAUGUUGGGUUGCUUCGGCGGCCCGCACUCCACCCUUGUGCACCAAUUGUUUUUGGCCGGCCUGGCCUGUCUGGGCUGGCCAAAGGGCUUCCGCUGAUGGGCUUCGGCCCCCGGUGUUGGCCCGCCCCAACGCUUCCACACUGUCUAAUGUAAGAAACAAAAUGAUCUAAACAACUUUUGACAACGGAUCUCUUGGCUCUC
rnacentral:misc_RNA from 1 species